UACGGAGGGUGCAAGCGUUGUCCGGAAUCACUGGGCGUAAAGGGCGCGUAGGCGGCUCAUGAAGGCUGUGGUGAAAGUCCGGGGCUCAACCUCGGAUCGGCCGUGGCGACUCGUGGGCUGGAGCACUGUAGAGGCGGGUGGAAUUCCGGGUGUAGCGGUGGAAUGCGCAGAUAUCAGGAGGAACACCGAUGGCGAAGGCAGAUCUCUGGGCCGUAACUGACGCUGAGGAGCGAAAGCGUGGGGAGCGAACAGG
rnacentral:rRNA from 1 species